rnacentral:rRNA from 1 species
UACAGAGGGUGCAAGCGUUGUUCGGAAUUAUUGGGCGUAAAGCGCGUGUAGGCGGCUUAGCAAGUCGGGCGUGAAAGCCCUCGGCUCAACCGAGGAAGUGCACCCGAAACUGCUGAGCUUGAGUGCCGGAGAGGAUGGCGGAAUACCCCAAGUAGAGGUGAAAUUCGUAGAUAUGGGGUGGAACACCGGUGGCGAAGGCGGCCAUCUGGACGGUAACUGACGCUGAGACGCGAAAGCGUGGGGAGCAAACAGGAUUAGAUACCCUGGUAGUCCACGCCGUAAACGAUGAGAACUAGAUGUCGCGGGUGUUGACCCCUGCGGUGUCGCAGCUAACGCAUUAAGUUCUCCGCCUGGGAAGUACGGUCGCAAGAUUAAA